CAAUAUACAUUCUAUACACCAGCACUGCUCAAUCAAAAUGAUGUCCUAAACCCCAAACUCAGCCAUUCUUGGGUGAGGAGACUUUGCCAUGUGCUUAGACCACCAGGAAGCUUUACCUCACCACAGUCUCAAAGCAAACUAUCCAAUCAACCUUGGAGGAAACUUCAAUCUAAACUUGAAACUAAAAUCAUGAACCAAAAUAAAUUGUUCCUCUUCAAAAA